rnacentral:sRNA from 1 species
UAGAAUGGUCUAUCGUACGGAAUACCCCG